CUAUCCCCAUUUAACAAGACUGUGUUAUUUGGCCUUUCAAUUGAGAUGAACCCCACAACACAGAAGAUCUCCAUUGUCAAGGUCCACAUCCAAUUUGCCAGCUUUCUAUUGCAAAGUCAUGGAUUUUCCCCGAUUGCUGAAGCUGCUCACUUUGUUUGAUGAACAAUCACUAUAGCUGAUAGUGCUCUUCAACCAGAAAUCGCAUGUGCAUGUAACAGAGAAGAUUUAGAAAUAUCAGUCAGACUGGAGCCAAACAGUGCCAAUACUGCUGAGACAUGGUCAGAGGUAGAUCAUGUCUACCUUGGAAAGCUUAAAACAUCUGGAUGCAAACCUGCUAAGGAGAUGCUAUUCCAAGAAGCGCUCGGUGGCAGAUGCCAGGCAAUGCUGAAAGACCACAACAAUGCAGAGGAACUGUACAGGCAACUGAAGAAAAAAAACAUCCAGUUGGUGAGUCCUGAACGUCGAGUGAUCUAGAGCAAGUGAACUA